rnacentral:rRNA from 1 species
UACAGAGGUCUCAAGCGUUGUUCGGAUUCAUUGGGCGUAAAGGGUGCGUAGGUGGCGAGGUAAGUCGGAUGUGAAAGCUCGGAGCUCAACUCCGAAAUGGCAUUGGAAACUACCUUGCUCGAGGGUUGGAGGGGGGACUGGAAUGCGUUGGUGUAGCAGUGAAAUGCGUAGAUAUCAAGCGGAACACCAGUGGCGAAGGCGAGUCCCCUGGACAACUCCUGACACUGAGGCACGAAAGCUAGGGGAGCAAACAGGA